UAAUACGAAGGGGGCGAGCGUUGUUCGGAAUUACUGGGCGUAAAGGGCGCGCAGGCGGCCUUAGAAGUCAGAUGUGAAAGCCCCGGGCUCAACCUGGGAAUGGCAUUUGAUACUCUGAGGCUGGAGUACGGGAGAGGAGAGUGGAAUUCCCAGUGUAGAGGUGAAAUUCGUAGAUAUUGGGAAGAACACCGGUGGCGAAGGCGGCUCUCUGGACCGUAACUGACGCUGAGGCGCGAAAGCGUGGGGAGCAAACAGGAUUAGAUACCCUGGUAGUCCACGCCGUAAACGAUGUGCGCUAGACGUUGGAGGACCUAGUCCUCCGGUGUCGCAGCCAACGCGAUAAGCGCACCGCCUGGGGAGUACGGCCGCAAGGUUA
rnacentral:rRNA from 1 species